CUGCCCCCUCUUCCCCCUUCUUCUUCCUUCUUCUUCUCUCUCUCUGUAAGAAAUUCUUGUCUGAGUCCCCUUUUCAGUCAUGUUUGAGUUGAUAAAUACAGGUGCUCAAGAGGUUACGUAGCCUUUUCUUCCUUUUUCAGAAUAAAACAGGUUAUGUAGCUUUCUUGGUAAUUAUUUUAGAGGCGCUUUGUUUAGUUAGAUGUUGAUGACUAGUUUUAGCUUAGUCAUGGCCUUUGCUAUAUACAUUCUGAACUGCCAAUGGCGAUGCAGGCCCUUUUUUGAUUUAUCAGGUGAUUGGAGAAGCUACCUAAUUUGAUUGUGUGAUCCCAUCUUCUGGACUUUAUGGUGCCCUGCUUCCUUGGAGUGUUUUUCACUGGGUUCUAGUUGUACAUUACUACUGUCUGCUAUUCGAAGGAAAGCCUAUGACAAUGACAAUGAGGAUUUUGCUGACUAGCCCUGGUCCUUCAGAUUUGUGUGCACUCCUAUGGAAGUUCCACUUAUUGUGGCGACACUCUCCUGUAGUGUUGAGGACUGGGAGUUAGUAAUCCUUUAACAAGAAGUGGAAUAAUGCUUUCCCGGCAUGCUCCCUGUUAGAGGGCCUCGUGAGAUCCAAUUGAGUUUCGAAUGAGCAAUUGGCUUUUGCAUCAGUUUGAUCAUUAAUUCAAAAUCAAGGGGCCUGACGUUGUGAGAUGAGAUACUUAUCGCCCUCUAAGGAGAUGCAUAUGGUCUUGAUUGUAGGAUAUAUCCUAUUGUUUAGCUAGGACUUCUCAGAACAUUGGGUCUAACGGUUCAUCAGAUUUUGACUUAAACUAAUCUUGCAGGGGCGUUUUCUAUUAGCUUGACGAUGGUUGUAUAAAGGAAGUCCAGUUGACCAUGUUCACAAGGCUCCCCCUUUCUAGGAGUUUCUCUGUCUCUUUGUAUUAGUGAACACACGCUUGAAGAAAAGAUAGUGACCACCCUGACUCUGCUGGUGGGCUUUUUGAUGGUUGUUUUGUCAAUAUUGGAGAGACACGUAGUUAAUACUAUGUGCUUCUCACGGAGAAUAGAUGUACCAAUCUUACAGGGAAUGAAAAUGUGUGCGGUAUUUGGAAAUUUCGUUAUUCUCUAUGUAAGUUUGUCAAUUCCAUUAUCAGGUUACUUAAUAGCCUGCUUCUUCUGUCUGCACUCUUCAUGAAGAUAAUUAAGGCCUUUUGCUA